CCUUCGGGGCUCUCUGGUGAUUCAUAAUAACUUCUCGAAUCGCACGGCCUUGCGCCGGCGAUGGUUCAUUCAAAUUUCUGCCCUAUCAACUUUCGACGGCUGGGUCUUGGCCAGCCGUGGUGACAACGGGUAACGGAGGGUUAGGGCUCGACCCCGGAGAAGGAGCCUGAGAAACGGCUACUACAUCCAAGGAAGGCAGCAGGCGCGCAAAUUACCCAAUCCCGACACGGGGAGGUAGUGACAAUAAAUACUGAUACAGGGCUCUUUCGGGUCUUGUAAUUGGAAUGAGUACAAUUUAAAUCCCUUAACGAGGAACAAUUGGAGGGCAAGUCUGGUGCCAGCAGCCGCGGUAAUUCCAGCUCCAAUAGCGUAUAUUAAAGUUGUUGAGGUUAAAAAGCUCGUAGUUGAACCUUGGGCCCAGCCGGCCGGUCCGCCUCACCGCGUGCACUGGCUCGGCUGGGUCUUUCCUUCUGGAGAACCGCAUGCCCUUCACUGGGUGUGCCGGGGAACCAGGACUUUUACUCUGAACAAAUUAGAUCGCUUAAAGAAGGCCUAUGCUCGAAUACAUUAGCAUGGAAUAAUAGAAUAGGACGUGUGGUUCUAUUUUGUUGGUUUCUAGGACCGCCGUAAUGAUUAAUAGGGACAGUCGGGGGCAUCAGUAUUCAAUUGUCAGAGGUGAAAUUCUUGGAUUUAUUGAAGACUAACUACUGCGAAAGCAUUUGCCAAGGAU
rnacentral:rRNA from 1 species